rnacentral:snoRNA from 1 species
UGAAUCUUGCUAUAAAAAUGUAUAGAUUCUCCAAGUGAACAAAACUUUUUGUAAACGUCCUAGAGAAAUAUAGCAUUUUUUCUGUUCAUCCUUUGCAAGAAGAGAGGGAGAAUCGUUCCACUGCUGACAUUU